AUGACAAUCUGGCUUCAAAUCUCUCUCUUUGUCUCUCCUUCUUCCCUCCCUCCCUCUCUUCCCCCCUCUCUCCCUCCUUCCCCAUUCCUCUCUCUCUCUCUCUCUCUCUCUCUCUCUCUCUCUCUCUCUCUCUCUCUGUCUCCCUCUAUCUGUCUCUCUCUCCCUCUCAGUGUGUAUGUGUGUCUCUCUCCCUCCCUCUCUCUCUCUGUCUCUCCCUCUCUGUCUCUUUCCCUCUCUCUCUGUCUCUCUCCCCUCUCUCUCUGUCUCUCUCUCUCUGUCUCCCUCUCUCUGUCUCUCUCUCUGUCUCUCUCUGUCUGUCUCUCUCUGUCUCUCUGUCUCUGUCUCUCUGUCUCUCUGUGUCUCUCUCUCCCUCUCUGUCUCUCUCUCUCUCACUUUCUCCUCUUUCUACCUAUGUGUCCUUGAGCAAUCAAUCCACUUAAUUCCUGGGGCCUCCGUUUCCUCCUCUAUAAAGUGAGGAGAUUAUUCUCAAUGGCCUCUGGGGUAUCUUCUAGUUCUGAGUCUAUGAUCCAAAGUGUUCCUGGGUCACUCAAUGAUCCCUCCUGACAUCCAAGGUGGUUGUGAAUCAACAGGCUGUGCAGCUGGCAUUUUACCUCAUCGGCAGCAGGGAGACAUUGAAGAUUCUUGAGGUGAAUGUCUCAGGAAUAACUGGCAGCUGGAGACAUAUUAGUGAACCAAACUUUAUUGAGCUUCUUCUUAAGUGUCUGAUCCUGAGCUAAGCAAGCACUGAGAUAGCCUGGGAUGGGGAGAUCCAUUAUGAGGGCCCUGCUGUAGUCUAUAGGAGAGGCAAGUGAUGGAGACUUCAGUAUGAUGGGAAGAAGGGCAAGGAUGGGAAAAGUGAGCCCUGAUGACUAUUAGGUGUUGGGGAAGAGUCAGAGGAAAGAGUCCAAGGGGAGGGGGAGGCUGCUGUGCCUCUGGGGGAAGGAGGCCUACUGACCUGCAAUAGCCUUUGGAGGUCCCUGGGGUCAUCUCUCCCAUUUUACAGAUGGGGAACUAAGACCAGAAAGGCUGAGUUGCUUGCAGAGGUUACACAAGUAAAGAAGCAUCAGAGGGGAGAUUUGAACUCAGGAUUUCUGAGACAGAACUGGACAAUAGCACUGGGAUCGGGACGUUUGGAGGAAUGACAAGUGAGGGUGUGUGUGUGCGAGUGUGUAUGUGUAACAGUGAGCUCUGUUGAGAUGGGUCAGGUUCAAGAUGCCAAUGGGCCAUCCAGUUGGCACUUGGUGAUGCUGGCCUGGAGCUCAGGGUAUAUACAAGAGAGAGCAUAGUGCGUCUGCCCGUGGAAGACCAUUCAGGUGUUGCCCCCUCUCUAGACUGCA
rnacentral:lncRNA from 1 species